AGGUAGUUAGUUUAAUUAAAACAAAUGAUUUCGACCCAUUAGAUUAUGAUAGCUUCAUAACUACCAA
rnacentral:tRNA from 1 species